AUUGAACGCUGGCGGCGUGCCUAAUACAUGCAAGUCGAACGCAGUGGGGACGGGUGAGUAACACGUGGGUAACCUCCCAUCAGAGGGAAUAACACGUGGCAACAGGUGCUAAACCGAUACUGAUGUAUGUACCCGCGGGGCAUUAGCUGGUUGGUGGGGUAACGGCUCACCAAGGCCACGAUGCCUAGCCGGCCUGAGAGGGGGAUCAGCCACACGGGGACUGAGACACGGACCAGACUCAUACGGGAGGCAGCAGUGGGGAAUCUUCGGCAAUGGACGCAAGUCUGACCGAGCAACGCCGCGUGAGUGAAGAAGGUUUUCGGAUCGUAAAACACUUUUGUUAGGGAAGCGGUAUCUAACGAGAAAGCCACGGCUAACUACGUGCCAGCAGCCGCGGUAAUAC
rnacentral:rRNA from 1 species